rnacentral:rRNA from 1 species
GACGAACGCUGGCGGCGUGCUUAACACAUGCAAGUCGAACGGAAAGGCCCUGCUUUUGUGGGGUGCUCGAGUGGCGAACGGGUGAGUAACACGUGAGUAACCUGCCCUUGACUUUGGGAUAACUUCAGGAAACUGGGGCUAAUACCGGAUAGGAGCUCCUGCUGCAUGGUGGGGGUUGGAAAGUUUCGGCGGUUGGGGAUGGACUCGCGGCUUAUCAGCUUGUUGGUGGGGUAGUGGCUUACCAAGGCUUUGACGGGUAGCCGGCCUGAGAGGGUGACCGGCCACAUUGGGACUGAGAUACGGCCCAGACUUCUACGGGAGGCAGCAGUGGGGAAUAUUGCACAAUGGGCGGAAGCCUGAUGCAGCAACACCGCGUGCGGGAUGACGGCCUUCGGGUUGUAAACCGCUUUCGCCUGUGACGAAGCGUGAGUGACGGUAAUGGGUAAAGAAGCGCCGGCUAACUACGUGCCAGCAGCCGCGGUGAUACGUAGGGUGCGAGCGUUGUCCGGAUUUAUUGGGCGUAAAGGGCUCGUAGGUGGUUGAUCGCGUCGGAAGUGUAAUCUUGGGGCUUAACCCUGAGCGUGCUUUCGAUACGGGUUGACUUGAGGAAGGUAGGGGAGAAUGGAAUUCCUGGUGGAGCGGUGGAAUGCGCAGAUAUCAGGAGGAACACCAGUGGCGAAGGCGGUUCUCUGGGCCUUUCCUGACGCUGAGGAGCGAAAGCGUGGGGAGCGAACAGGCUUAGAUACCCUGGUAGUCCACGCUGUAAACGGUGGGUACUAGGUGUGGGGUCCAUUCCACGGGUUCCGUGCCGUAGCUAACGCUUUAAGUACCCCGCCUGGGGAGUACGGCCGCAAGGCUAAAACUCAAAGGAAUUGACGGGGCCCCGCACAAGCGGCGGAGCAUGCGGAUUAAUUCGAUGCAACGCGUAGAACCUUACCUGGGUUUGACAUGGAUCGGGAGCGCUCAGAGAUGGGUGUGCCUCUUUUGGGGUCGGUUCACAGGUGGUGCAUGGCUGUCGUCAGCUCGUGUCGUGAGAUGUUGGGUUAAGUCCCGCAACGAGCGCAACCCUUGUUCACUGUUGCCAGCACGUUAUGGUGGGGACUCAGUGGAGACCGCCGGGGUCAACUCGGAGGAAGGUGGGGAUGACGUCAAGUCAUCAUGCCCCUUAUGUCCAGGGCUUCACGCAUGCUACAAUGGCUGGUACAGAGAGUGGCGAGCCUGUGAGGGUGAGCGAAUCUCGGAAAGCCGGUCUCAGUUCGGAUUGGGGUCUGCAACUCGACCUCAUGAAGUCGGAGUCGCUAGUAAUCGCAGAUCAGCAACGCUGCGGUGAAUACGUUCCCGGGGCU